rnacentral:pre_miRNA from 2 species
UUUUAUGAAUGAGCAAAGAAAGUGGUUUCCUGAGAUGGAAUCUACUUCUGGUGAAGAUACAAUGUUGUGAA